rnacentral:rRNA from 1 species
AAUGACUCUCGGCAACGGAUAUCUCGGAUCUUGCAUCGAUGAAGAGUGUAGCGAAAUACGAUACUUGGUGUGAAUUAGAGAAUCCCGUGAACUAUCGAGUCUUUGAACGCAAGUUGCACCAGAAGUCUUUUAGUCCGAGGGCAUAUCUUCUUGGGUGUC